UAAUAGUGUAUAUUAAAGUUGUUGCAGUUAAAAAGCUCGUAGUUGAAUGUUGGUGUCGAACGAGCGGUCAGCUUCGGCUGUAUUGCUCUCUCGACUCCUUCCUUCUGUGGACUACGUCGCACUUUACUGUGUGGCGCUAGGACGCAGAUCGUUUACUGUGAAAAAAUUAGAGUGUUCAAAGCAGGCCGUACGCUUGAAUACAUUAGCAUGGAAUAAUGGAAUAGGACGUCGGGCCUAUUUUGUUGGUUCUAGGACCGUCGUAAUGAUUAAUAGGGACAGUUGGGGCCGUUUAUAUUCCGUAGUCAGAGGUGAAAUUCUUGGAUUUACGGAAGAUAAACUACUGCGAAAGCAUUCGGCAAGGAUGUUUUCGUUA
rnacentral:rRNA from 1 species